rnacentral:rRNA from 1 species
AGUGAACGCUGGCGGUAGGCCUAACACAUGCAAGUCGAACGGCAGCACAGUAAGAGCUUGCUCUUACGGGUGGCGAGUGGCGGACGGGUGAGGAAUACAUCGGAAUCUACUUUUUCGUGGGGGAUAACGUAGGGAAACUUACGCUAAUACCGCAUACGACCUACGGGUGAAAGCAGGGGAUCUUCGGACCUUGCGCGAUUGAAUGAGCCGAUGUCGGAUUAGCUAGUUGGCGGGGUAAAGGCCCACCAAGGCGACGAUCCGUAGCUGGUCUGAGAGGAUGAUCAGCCACACUGGAACUGAGACACGGUCAAGACUCCGACGGGAGGCAGCAGUGGGGAAUAUUGGACAAUGGGCGCAAGCCUGAUCCAGCCAUACCGCGUGGGUGAAGAAGGCCUUCGGGUGGUAAAGCCCUUUUGUUGGGAAAGAAAAGCAGCAGGUUAAUACCCCGCUGUUCUGACGGUACCCAAAGAAUAAGCACCGGCUAACUUCGU